rnacentral:rRNA from 1 species
GAAGAAGCUUGCUUCUUCUGAUGGCGACCGGCGCACGGGUGCGUAACGCGUAUCAAACCUGCCUCAUACUCGGGGAUAGCCUUGCGAAAGUAAGAUUAAUACCCGAUGUUGUUAUGUUACCGCAUGGUGAUAUAACCAAAGAUUUAUCGGUAUGAGAUGGUGAUGCGUCCGAUUAGGUAGUAGGCGGGGUAACGGCCCACCUAGCCUUCGAUCGGUAGGGGUUCUGAGAGGAAGGUCCCCCACACUGGAACUGAGACACGGUCCAGACUCCUACGGGAGGCAGCAGUGAGGAAUAUUGGUCAAUGGACGAAAGUCUGAACCAGCCAAGUAGCGUGCAGGAUGACGGCCCUCUGGGUUGUAAACUGCUUUUAGUUGGGAAUAAAAAAGAGGACGUGUCCUCUAUUGUAUGUACCUUCAGAAAAAGGACCGGCUAAUUCCGUGCCAGCAGCCGCGGUAAUACGGAAGGUCCAGGCGUUAUCCGGAUUUAUUGGGUUUAAAGGGAGCGUAGGCGGAUUAUUAAGUCAGUGGUGAAAGACGGUGGCUCAACCAUCGUUAGCCAUUGAAACUGGUAGUCUUGAGUGCAGACAGGGAUGCUGGAACUCGUGGUGUAGCGGUGAAAUGCUUAGAUAUCACGAUGAACUCCGAUCGCGAAGGCAGGUGUCCGGGCUGCAACUGACGCUGAGGCUCGAAAGUGUGGGUAUCAAACAGGAUUAGAUACCCUGGUAGUCCACACAGUAAACGAUGUAUACUCGCGGUUUGCGAUACA